rnacentral:misc_RNA from 1 species
AUAUCACAACAAUACCCAUUUAACGAAAAAAUCAAAAAGAAAAAAAAUUAAAUGAAGUGUUGGAACUACUGGAGUGAAGAUUGACCGAUAGAAGAAGAGAAGAAGAGGAGGAGAGAAAAGUAGAAAAAUAUUUUUUUUAAAAAAAACCCUGGAUGUGCAAGUGCUAGACCUGCUGGUAGGUUGUGCAAAUGAGAGGAGAAGAAAUAUAGAAGA